AGAGUUUGAUCCUGGCUCAGGAUGAACGCUGGCGGCAUGCCUAAUACAUGCAAGUCGAACGAGAGGAAGGAAAGCUUGCUUUUCUGAAUCUAGUGGCGAACGGGUGAGUAACACGUAGGUAACCUGCCCAUGUGCCCGGGAUAACUUCUGGAAACGGAUGCUAAAACCGGAUAGGUAGCAGACAAGCAUUUGACUGCUAUUAAAGUGGCUUUGGCCAUGAACAUGGAUGGACCUGCGGUGCAUUAGCUAGUUGGUGAGGUAACGGCCCACCAAGGCGACGAUGCAUAGCCGGCCUGAGAGGGCGGACGGCCACAUUGGGACUGAGACACGGCCCAAACUCCUACGGGAGGCAGCAGUAGGGAAUUUUCGUCAAUGGGGGGAACCCUGAACGAGCAAUGCCGCGUGAGUGAGGAAGGUCUUCGGAUCGUAAAGCUCUGUUGUAAAGGAAGAACGUCGUACACAGGAAAUGGUGUGCGAGUGACGGUACUUUACCAGAAAGCCACGGCUAACUACGUGCCAGCAGCCGCGGUAAUACGUAGGUGGCGAGCGUUAUCCGGAAUCAUUGGGCGUAAAGAGGGAGCAGGCGGCCGCAAGGGUCUGUGGUGAAAGACCGAAGCUAAACUUCGGUAAGCCAUGGAAACCGGGCGGCUAGAGUGCGGAAGAGGAUCGUGGAAUUCCAUGUGUAGCGGUGAAAUGCGUAGAUAUAUGGAGGAACACCAGUGGCGAAGGCGACGGUCUGGGCCGCAACUGACGCUCAUUCCCGAAAGCGUGGGGAGCAAAUAGGAUUAGAUACCCUAGUAGUCCACGCCGUAAA
rnacentral:rRNA from 1 species